UACGUAGGUGGCAAGCGUUGUCCGGAUUUACUGGGCGUAAAGGAUGCGUAGGCGGACAUUUAAGUCAGAUGUGAAAUACCCGAGCUUAACUUGGGUGCUGCAUUUGAAACUGGGUGUCUAGAGUGCAGGAGAGGUAAGUGGAAUUCCUAGUGUAGCGGUGAAAUGCGUAGAGAUUAGGAAGAACACCAGCGGCGAAGGCGACUUACUGGACUGUAACUGACGCUGAGGCAUGAAAGCGUGGGGAGCAAACAGG
rnacentral:rRNA from 1 species